UGGUCCCCGGGCACGGCGGCGGCUCCCGAGCCCUCCUGCUCCGACCCCACAGAGUGCUCGAGUCUGGAGGGGCAGCAGACGGUGGUGGGCGCUUGCGCCGCCGCCAUCUCCUUCGUCCUGCCCGCCUGACCCCCGGCGCUCACUUCCCUAGCGUCGUCGCUGUCAUCCACAACCACCGCCACCGCGCCCCCACCCUCUCCCCGUCGCUGCAGGCCCCCACCUUCUCCCAAUCCCCUCACCCUUCUCUCCCGUGGCCAGUGGAUUCGCCCCUCGUGGGAUCGAUUCCUCCGAGCCAGCGGUCUGCAGGGCCGGACGGGAGCGGCGCGGCCCCCAUCGGUGCGUCGGUGGCGAUGGCCCUGCGGGUCGAGGCUGACCCCCAACGGCGCUGGCGCUGCGUCAAGCCGGCGCGUGCUUCUGCUCGCGGGACAACGUGGUUAAGCGGCGACGAGAUGCUCGUCCAUCUCCUCCUCACGGACCAAAUCGUCGAGGAUUCCUCAUCCAUCGACGCGCCCAAGACUGGUUCCUGAUGGUGCAGCCAACCUCUGUCUUCCUCCCCGACGGCGGCGUCGAA